CAGUCGAGGGGUAUUGGUUUUCGGACCAGAGACCGGCGCACGGGUGCGUAAUGCGUAUGCAAUCUACCUUUCACAGAGGGAUAGCCCAGAGAAAUUUGGAUUAAUACCUCAUAGUAUGCAGAGUUGGCAUCAACACUGCAUUAAAGUCACAACGGUGAAAGAUGAGCAUGCGUCCCAUUAGCUAGUUGGUAAGGUAACGGCUUACCAAGGCUACGAUGGGUAGGGGUCCUGAGAGGGAGAUCCCCCACACUGGUACUGAGACACGGACCAGACUCCUACGGGAGGCAGCAGUGAGGAAUAUUGGUCAAUGGGCGCAAGCCUGAACCAGCCAUGCCGCGUGCAGGAUGACGGUCCUAUGGAUUGUAAACUGCUUUUGUACAGGAAGAAACAACAUUACGUGUAAUGUCUUGACGGUACUGUAAGAAUAAGGAUCGGCUAACUCCGUGCCAGCAGCCGCGGUAAUACGGAGGAUCCAAGCGUUAUCCGGAAUCAUUGGGUUUAAAGGGUCCGUAGGCGGUUUAGUAAGUCAGUGGUGAAAGCCCAUCGCUCAACGGUGGAACGGCCAUUGAUACUGCUAGACUUGAAUUAUUAGGAAGUGACUAGAAUAUGUAGUGUAGCGGUGAAAUGCUUAGAGAUUACAUGGAAUACCAAUUGCGAAGGCAGGUUACUACUAAUGGAUUGACGCUGAUGGACGAAAGCGUGGGUAGCGA
rnacentral:rRNA from 1 species